AACGAACGCUGGCGGCAUGCCUAACACAUGCAAGUCGAACGAGACCUUCGGGUCUAGUGGCGCACGGGUGCGUAACGCGUGGGAACCUGCCCUUAGGUUCGGAAUAACUCCCCGAAAGGGGUGCUAAUACCGGAUAAUGUCUUCGGACCAAAGAUUUAUCGCCUUUGGAUGGGCCCGCGUUGGAUUAGCUAGUUGGUAGGGUAAAAGCCUACCAAGGCGACGAUCCAUAGCUGGUCUGAGAGGAUGAUCAGCCACACUGGGACUGAGACACGGCCCAGACUCCUACGAGAGGCAGCAGUGGGGAAUAUUGGACAAUGGGCGAAAGCCUGAUCCAGCAAUGCCGCGUGAGUGAUGAAGGCCUUAGGGUUGUAAAGCUCUUUUACACGGGAUGAUAAUGACAGUACCGGGAGAAUAAGCUCCGGCUAACUCCGUG
rnacentral:rRNA from 1 species